GAUAACCUCAACCGACUGCCCAAAAACCAAACUGAAGAACGCAACCAGCUGUUUAUGAAAGAAUAUAGAUACAACUCUCAAUAUCAUUAGUUUUAGUGAAAUAUUCCAUCAAAAAUAAGGUUCUGUUAGUAAGCCCCAAAUCAUCUACGAGCAUUAUAUCUUCUACUCACGGUGGAGAAUUGCCAUUUCGAUGUCAAGUCUCUAAAUUCGGACUUGAGUAAUUGAGCAUCUAAGGUCGAGGAGUAGAUACGAGUUGAGUUCUUGAGCUGUUGAGCUAAGACAAGGUUCAGGUAUUCCACCCAGCAGUAGUCAGUGCACUCCACUUGAUUCGGAGCUGGAGUCUAUUUUGGUAUGCUAUUUUGAGAUGUAUAUAGGGGUAUGACGGGGCCCUGUCCCGUCCUUUCUACAGUUUUGUACUCCAUUAGAGGUCUGUAGACAGUUGUAUGUAGUUGGGAUGUUAUGUAGCCUUGUCGGCUUCUUCUUGUUGUACAGUCAAUGUAGCGGCCUAGUCGGCUUGCAUCGUUAUCUUCAGCUUGUAUGUAUGUAUAUUGGUUGUGAGUUCUUGAUACAGAGACUAGUAUGUUGCUCUUACAGGAGUCGAUAUAGUUCAGUUAUAAGUCAUAUAUGGACCAUCCUGUUGUUCAGUGAGAUCCAGGUACAAGUAUAAGAGUGUCUGGUCAGUAGAGGUCGGGCACUCAUCAUGACUCAUCGGUUUGGGUCGUGACAUAGUGAACCUCAGGUUGUAAGGUGGUUGGAGAAUUACAAUUCUUAUCCUGUGUAGUCCAUUGUAGUGGGAUGUUUGUUUAUCUUGUCUUGAAGCUUGAACUGACUACUGGG